rnacentral:rRNA from 1 species
GUGGGGAAUAUUCCGCAAUGGACGAAAGUCUGACGGAGCAACGCCGCGUGAGUGAUGAAGGUUUUCGGACUGUAAAGCUCUGUUGUUUAGGACGAAAGUGCCUGUUGCAAAUAGUUACAGGUAUUGACGGUACUGAACGAGGAAGCCACGGCUAACUACGUGCCAGCAGCCGCGGUAAUACGUAGGUGGCAAGCGUUGUCCGGAAUUAUUGGGCGUAAAGAGCAUGUAGGCGGGAAUCUAAGUCUGUUGUGAAAAUGCGGGGCUCAACCCCGUAUGGCGAUGGAAACUGGGUUUCUUGAGUGCAGGAGAGGAAAGGGGAAUUCCCAGUGUAGCGGUGAAAUGCGUAGAUAUUGGGAGGAACACCAGUGGCGAAGGCGCCUUUCUGGACUGUGUCUGACGCUGAGAUGCGAAAGCCAGGGUAGCGAACGGGAUUAGAAACCCGUGUAGUCC